CAGGACAGGUACAGCAGAGGCAGCCACAGUGCAAACUUUUCCCACACCACCCUGUCCAUAUGCCUCAACCCUGACCUAAAGGGACCACUUCUAG
rnacentral:sRNA from 14 species